rnacentral:rRNA from 1 species
UACGGAGGGGGCUAGCGUUGUUCGGAAUUACUGGGCGUAAAGCGCACGUAGGCGGCUUUGCAAGUUAGAGGUGAAAGCCCGGGGCUCAACCCCGGAAUUGCCUUUAAAACUGCAUCGCUAGAAUUGUGGAGAGGUAAGUGGAAUUCCGAGUGUAGAGGUGAAAUUCGUAGAUAUUCGGAAGAACGCCAGUGGCGAAGGCGACUUACUGGACACAUAUUGACGCUGAGGUGCGAAAGCGUGGGGAGCAAACAGG